rnacentral:pre_miRNA from 1 species
UCUUAUGGAUGAGCAAAGAAAGUGGUUUCUUGAAGUGGAAACUACUGGUGAGGAUUCUGUGAA